rnacentral:tRNA from 1 species
GCCCCCGUAGCUCAGCAGGUAGAGCGCAUGACUGUUACUCAUGAGGUCCGCAGUUCGAGUCUGCGCGGGGGCG